GUGAAGGGUAUAAGAGAGAGCUUAAAGUUUUAAGCCGCCGAAGGGACAAACUUUAUUUUAUCCCAAUGAAAUAAAGUGAAAUUCUCAGGCAAAGGGAUUAUAUCUGGAUA
rnacentral:ncRNA from 2 species